CGUCCUCCAGCCCAUGCACCCUCCGUGACCCGCCACCCCUGUUGCGCACCAGUUGAGGAAAUCUCAGCGUCUAACUUCUUGGUUUCUCUUUUCGGCCCCCAAACUAUGCCCGUCGUGGGACUUUUAAGUCCCUAUGCGCGUCGUCAAUCAGCCCCGUUUGAGGUCUCCUCGCAGAAUGAGGUCUACGAAGAAGCAGGCUCGGAGGAAGAGAGAGCACCCUGCGAAACCUCGGACACCUCCCCUCCCGUCCCUACGAGCGCUCUCUAGGACCCACCGGUCGAGAGAGGCGGCUGCGGGAUGACUGGACACUAGGGCCCACGGGGGUGCACGGGGUUGGAGCGCAGGAAACAGCGAGGAUCCAAUCCAGGCCCAUACGUCGCAUUGAGCUCUCCUUGGGGUCCUUUAAUCUAGGACAGUCCUCUAUCAAUCGUCCUCUUACACAACCAAAACACGUUGGAGGAGUACUGGCCAGUGUUUUGUGCAAUAUCCUUUAGUUGCUUUUUGUCUGAUGACUCCUUUUGAAUGGAUUCAGGUUGUUUUGCGCAGGGGUGAUGUGCUCUGCUCAGGAGGGACAUGAUGGUGGUAUAUCUUAUUUGUAGUAAUGGAAACUGAUCACUUGGUUAAGGUGCUAUCUGCCAGAUUUCUCCUUAGGAUUUAAUGGCCAGAAACCUCCUUUUCAAAGACUCCUUCCGGUAGAUUAUAUUUCUUACACACAAUUUUUCUCUGUCACCAGCUCCUGGCCUUUAAACUUACUUGCUACAAUUUAGGUGCAACCAGUUAUAACUUGACCUGUGAGGGCCUCCAGAGCCAGACAACACAAGCUUGGUCCAAGCUAGACUGUUUAUUUAGAGAUAUUUCUGCUGUAGGGUGUGUGCACUGAUCCUGAGAGACAGAGAUAGGAAGUGAGGAAUCAUCCCCCAGGGCGGAUGGCCACUCCACAAUCCCUUUUCCUCCAUUCCCCACUUGGGAUUUGGGGCAUGCACACACAUGAACCUGGUGUGAGUUUUAAGCUGCUGGGUCAGGGACUCGGACCAUGGUUGACUAUGGGGGAGUCCAGUAACAAUCAUUGCUCCGUCUGUAGGUCCCCUAGACUGCUUGUGUAAUCCUCAUGUCAUUAGCAAAAGAGUCCUGUGAAAUCAAAUCUAAAUUCAACAAUAAGAAAACAAAAUGAUCCAAUUAAUAGGUAAAUGAUCUGAACAGACACCUCAUCAAAGAAGAUUGUAAGCACUGAGAGAACAGGUGUGAGCCUUACCUGUCCUGUUCACAGAGGCAAUCAGCACACAGAACAAGGCAUGGCAUAUGUUGGAAGCCAAGCUUGAUCUUUCUGAAGCUGCCUUUUUCUUCCCAGUCAUGUUACUAGGUUGAGAUCUAACUCGUCAUUCAGUUCAACAGUUGGACUCCUAGCUUUCCAACUGGUUUUUUUCAGGCAAGCCACAGAAGAGUCAAGAUACUAAUUGAUUGGUUCCUUGGGAUGGUUGGGCCAUUUGUGUUAGUGGAUUCUACAGAGUGCUAUUUGUUCUAUGUUAUAAAAGGGACACGGAAGCCAAGUGAGAGCUACUGGGACAGUCCCACAGUGCAGCAGUUAAGAGCUGCAGAGAGGAAACAGGAUCCUACGUGGCCAACCAUUGUUUGACUCCUGGUCCUGGUGGCUUAUAUGUCAGGCACAGCCUGAUAGGAGAGAUGUUAUUUGCAAUGAAGAAAUAACGUAUUCAGUGGGCCAGACCUGACCUGAGACUGAACACUUACGUCUAGACUGGAGAGUCCAAUCCAUAAAGAGGAGUUGUGACGGAC